AUUGAACGCUGGCGGCAGGCCUAACACAUGCAAGUCGAGCGGAUGAAGGGAGCUUGCUCCUGGAUUCAGCGGCGGACGGGUGAGUAAUGCCUAGGAAUCUGCCUGGUAGUGGGGGAUAACGUCCGGAAACGGGCGCUAAUACCGCAUACGUCCUGAGGGAGAAAGUGGGGGAUCUUCGGACCUCACGCUAUCAGAUGAGCCUAGGUCGGAUUAGCUAGUUGGUGGGGUAAAGGCCUACCAAGGCGAUGAUCCGUAACUGGUGUGAGAGGAUGAUCAGUCACACUGGAACUGGAACACGGUCCAGACUCCUACGGGAGGCAGCAGUGGGGAAUAUUGGACAAUGGGCGAAAGCCUGAUGCAGCCAUGCCGCGUGUGUAAAGAAGGUCUUCGGAUUGUAAAGCACUUUAAGUUGGGAGGAAGGGCAGUGAGUUAAUACCUUGCUGUUUUGACGUUACCAACAGAAUAAGCACCGGCUAACUUCGUG
rnacentral:rRNA from 1 species